AUACGGAGGGUCCAAGCGUUAUCCGGAAUCAUUGGGUUUAAAGGGUCCGCAGGCGGUCAAUUAGGUCAGAGGUGAAAGCCCAUCGCUCAACGAUGGAACUGCCUUUGAUACUGGUUGACUUGAGUUAUACGGAAGUAGAUAGAAUAAGUAGUGUAGCGGUGAAAUGCAUAGAUAUUACUUAGAAUACCGAUUGCGAAGGCAGUCUACUACGUAUAUACUGACGCUGAGGGACGAAAGCGUGGGGAGCGAACAGGAUUAGAAACCCCGGUAGUCC
rnacentral:rRNA from 1 species